GAUGAAGAACGUAGCGAAAUGCGAUAAGUAGUGUGAAUUGCAGAAUUCAGUGAAUCAUCGAAUCUUUGAACGCACAUUGCGCCCUUUGGUAUUCCAAAGGGCAUGCCUGUUCGAGCGUCAUUUGUACCCUCAAGCUUUGCUUGGUGUUGGGCGUCUUGUCUCUAGCUUUGCUGGAGACUCGCCUUAAAGUAAUUGGCAGCCGGCCUACUGGUUUCGGAGCGCAGCACAAGUCGCACUCUCUAUCAGCAAAGGUCUAGCAUCCAUUAAGCCUUUUUUCAACUUUUGACCUCGGAUCAGGUAGGGAUACCCGCUGAACUUAAGCAUAUCAAUAAGCGGAGGA
rnacentral:misc_RNA from 1 species